UUACAUCAGCUAGUGUCCAGAUGCUCUCUCCUGAUGGGAAUUUGGUUCUGUCAACAAUUUGCCCACUGACCUGCUCUCCAAACAACAGGUAUGCGAUAAUCAAAAAGUUGGAAAGGUCUUGCUGGAUCGCUGGCUCCAAGCCUCAAUAGGAACAUUCAAAGCGGGAAGUCGGUGGAGCAUUCUGUCACAAAGUUUCUCUCGGGCGAAGCCAAGGUCGUAGAACGCAACGUGAGCUACUACCAGAAGCCUACCACUCCUACACCUGUGGAGGAGGGGUAAGGAAGAAGCCUUAUCUUGAACAGAAAGAAGCCAGGGGAGAGCGCGAACGCAGUCCCCCACUACCACAAAUUAUGCAGUCGAGUUUCCCGCAUUUGGGGAAAUCGCAGGGGUCAGCACAUCCGGAGUGCAAUGGAUAAGCCUCGCCCUGGGAAAACCACCUUCGUGAUCAUGGUAUCUCCCCUGCCAGGUAAGUAUGAGUUGCUCGCCCAGCCAGCACGCCCUCCACCCACACGCACUCCUAUUAAACGCACGGUUCCCGCUCCGCGCCACGGCCGCGUCCUCACGCCACCCAUCCCUGUGCCGCGAUGCUUCCGCCUCACGGAAAUCACACGCCUGCCUGUCACGCGGGACACUCCACCCGUGAUAUGGCCGUUUGGGUUCCCGGGGACCGGCAGCCACUGCGCGCCGCUAAUCUGCAUACGCCACGCCCACAAGCCUCUCCUCUCUGGCUCUCGCGUUCACUGUCUCGGUUUUUAUUGCUUUUUGGUUUUGGGGUUUUUUUUUUGCCGGGCAAGAGACCCAGACCCGGACAGGGUGACCUCGAGCGAGCGCACUGCGAAGCCUGGAACCUGAGAUGACUCCAAAGUUUCGAUUGCACUAUGCAGCCGGUAACCUAAGACGACCCUAAACUUCUGAUCCAAAGUGUAUGCCAACGUCCAUUCUAGGGAUCACACACUCGGGGAUUCGUGCAUGCCAAGGUUUCUUCCUGCACCCACUUGAUUUACUUGCUAUCAGAGUGAAAAACAAAAACAUGGGACCAGUGCUUCAAACCUGAAACGAGCAUGUCAAGAGAACUGGGGUGUGAUUCUCUACAAAAGACUUGAAAUUUCAACAUCCCAGGUUAAUUGAGAUUGGUACUGAACUCAAACUUUUGAAAGUAUCCUGGAGCUGGAAAGACGGCUCAGAUGGAGCAGUGGUUGCUCUUCCCGGGAAUCUGGGCUCAAUUCACAAUCCUAUAUGCAGGCAAAACCGUCCGUGCAUACGGAACGACUUUCUCUCCCUCCCUUCCUUCCUUCCUUCCUUCCUUCCUUCCUUCUUUCUUUCCUUCUUUCUUUCUUUCCCCCCCCCCCAUUUCCUUAUUUUCUUUCUUUCAUCCCAGUACUUGGGAGGCAGAGCCAGGCACAUCUCUGAGUUCCGGAACAGCCUGGUCUCGAGAGAGAGUUCCAGGAUGGCCAAGGCUAUGUAGGGAAGCCCUGUCUCCAACAACAACAACAACAACAACAACAACAACAACAACAACAACACUUGAGAGAUUUGUUAAGUGUUUUGCCUGUGUGUGUAUAUAUCCGUGUAUCACAUGUGCACAGUGCCCAGAAGAGGGCGUCAGAUACCUUAGAACUGGAGUUACUGUUGCGAGUCGCCAUGUGGGUAAUGGGAAUUGAAACCGGGCCCUCUGGAAGAGCAGCCCAAUACCAUUAACUGCUGAGCUAUCUCUCUAGCCCCAUAGAUAUUUGUGUGCGUGUGCGUGUGCGUGUGCGUGUGUCUGCCAGGCGAGGAUACUAAGAACCUAGAAGAGGGCCCUCACGAAAAUGACCGCGCUGGCAUCCGAAUAUAUCGACUUCCAGCACCUAGAACUGUUCUGAUUCUGCAAAACGGACGUUCUUAGAAACUUGAACCAAAGAGGUCACUGACCUAGAAGCAGCCCCAGAACCCGGCCUUAAAGCUAACAAAAGGUGCCGCUUCAAAGGACUGGAGUUUGAGUGUGUGGUGGACAGGACAGGUUCAGCUGUGCUCAACCAGCCCCCAGGGUUGGCCUGCUCUCUCUAUUCACUACGUCUUUGGAGGAGCGACCUCUGCCAACCGGACCAACCCAGAAAAGAGGGGUACGUAUUCCCCUUUCUUGGGGAACGUUUCAACCAGCUUUUGGGAGGGAAUUCGAGACAGGGUGUCUUGUCACUCAGCAACCCAGGCUGGCCUAGAACUGGUAGUGAGUGACCUCACCAGGCUGACAACAGUAUGCAGUAUGAGAUCAAGGUGUCGCCCCGCUCCCCGCACAUGCACCUCAUUCCAAGUGUUCUACCAACGGGAACCACCCCCUACCCUCGUCGUGGUUUAGAUAUUUGUUUGUGUAUGACACGUGUGUGCAGAGCCCUGAGGAAUGGUGGCAGUCAUCUGACCUGGGGACCUCAGAAAGAGCAGAGGUGCAGGAUUAGAAAGUUGAUCAGAAAGGCAUUGCACAGAUGAACCCUACGUACACUAUCUAUCAGCCGAGGAUGAAACGGAAAAGCCCUCAUCCCUGCUGGCCCGCCUGCUGGUCCUCCGGUGAAGUCGGCCAAAGAGUCCUCUCUAUCUCCCCUCUCUCUCUGUGGCUGCCCUACCCGACUGCAGGGGCCCACUGUGCACAGUGGGUGGGCAAUGCCGGUGCUGGUGCUUUGGAGCAAGGAGCUGUUGGCAGGCGAGGUUCUUGACUCUAGCAGAAAGUGGUUCUAGAAGCCCAGGAGACGAAAACCGAAAGGGAAGCCUGCAGGCUGGAGACCCAGGGGUUCCGACUCCUGAGAGAGAACAGAUGGCCAGUUGAAAACGCGGCCUAGGGAAGAGGAGUGCCAAAACCGAUUGAUGAGAGAGGCGUGCAGACCAACAGAGUCUCCGGCCUACUCCCGUAGUAUACGUAUCAUUCACCGCUGAAUGCGUAGUGAAAGCCCUCCCACCAAAACUCCUAACAGGGGCCACCGAACUGGUCUUGACUUUAGAAACCACAAUGAAAUCAGGGGAGAGCGCGAACGCAGUCCCCCACUACCACAAAUUAUGCAGUCGAGUUUCCCGCAUUUGGGGAAAUCGCAGGGGUCAGCACAUCCGGAGUGCAAUGGAUAAGCCUCGCCCUGGGAAAACCACCUUCGUGAUCAUGGUAUCUCCCCUGCCAGGUAAGUAUGAGUUGCUCGCCCAGCCAGCACGCCCUCCACCCACACGCACUCCUAUUAAACGCACGGUUCCCGCCUCCGCGCCACGGCCUCGGUCUCACGCCCCCCCACUCCUCUGCCGAGAUGCUUCCGCCUCACGGAAAUCACACGCCUGUCACACGGUACACUCCACCCGAGACACGGCCCUUAAGGCUCUGCCGGACCGGCAGCCACUGCGCACGGCUUCAUCUGCGUACGCCCCGCCCACAGGCGGGUUUUUUUUUUUUCCUUUUUCUUUUUUUUUUCUUUCCCCCCCCUUUUUUCUUCCCCUGGCCUGCAGGAGACCGCGACGGUCACACAGUGGCCUGGAGCACACUAUGUAUGUAUGUAUGUAUGUAUGUAUGUAUGUAUGUAUGUAUGUAUGUAUGUAUGUGACGAACUAAGGUCUCUUUAUGGCCUGGGAUGACCCUCGGGGCUUUGCGCAUGCCACGGCAAGUAAGUCUUCCUACCCUGUGGAGCUACACUCUCAGCCCUAUGAGCUACACCGUUAACUCGCUACCAGUUCUCAAGCAGAAAACAUUGCCACACCGACUGUGGAAGCCCACACCUGUCUCCUAACGCUUGCGAACCAGACGCAAGAGAACGGUCUGGACCUACGCGUCCUGUUGCCUAACUUAUUUUUAUGGUGGCGGGGUGGAGUGGGGGCAGAUUCUUCUCAGGUCAUUAGGCGUGGCUGUAUCUGUAAGCGCCUUUUACCUGCAGAGCCCUCUUGUGCUCUCCCUAGCCAUACCCUUUAACUGACCCCAAACCAUUGGUAUACAUUGAAGGGGUGAUUUAGUUUUUCCUUUUCCUUUUCCUUUUCCUUUUCCUUUCUCUCCCUCCUUCCCUCCCUUCCUACUUCUCUCCUCUCUCCCUUCCUUUUAAUGUUCAGUCCCAGACUACUGUUUUAGUUAGGGUUCUUCUACUAUUUCUUCCACAAAACACCAUGACCAAAAAGCAACUUGGGCAAGAGAGGGUUUAUUUGGCUUACACUUUCAGACCAUAGUCCAUCAUUGGAGGGAGUCGGGACAGGAACUCAAGCAGGGCUUGAGAUAGGAGCUGACGCAGAGCCCAUGAAGGAGUACUGCUUACUGGCUUGAUUUCUUACGGAACCCAGGACCACCAGCCCAGGGAUGGCUCGCUGAUUGAUCACUAAUUGAGAAAAUGCCUUACAGCCGGAUCUCAUGGAGGCAUUUCCUCAACUGAGCUGAAACAGCUUCGGCCACGCACAUGAUACAGCUCUGACCAGUUAAGACACCAGUCAGUCCCGGGGGAGAGCAUCUGCCAGGAAACGAACAUCAAAGCCGCUGUUCCAAGUUUUCUGCCUCCCAACUGCUCUACUUGGAAAUCGGGCUGAGGCCUUGGAGAAGCAGGUGUUCGCCUCCGGGUCUCCGGGGCCUGGCCUUAAGCGCGCAGCGGCAGUCCUCGCGUCUGCUCUCUGUUUAGCCACGCGGCCUACCUAAGGCCAACAGGACCCGGGGGUCGUGUCCCAGCACCCACACUGAAGCUCCGGUGCCUGGGGAGCCUAUGUUCUCUUCUGCCCCACCUUCCCGGCUUUCUGGUCUUCUCCAGCCUGGCACACGUGGGGCACACAGACACAUGGGCAGGAGAAGGCACUCCUACAUGGUAAAUAAAAAUAAGCAAAAAUCCCAUAAAA